UACGGAGGGUGCAAGCGUUAUCCGGAUUCACUGGGUUUAAAGGGUGCGUAGGCGGGCAGGUAAGUCAGUGGUGAAAUCUCCAAGCUUAACUUGGAACUGCCGUUGAUACUAUCUGUCUUGAAUACUGUGGAGGUGAGCGGAAUAUGUCAUGUAGCGGUGAAAUGCUUAGAUAUGACAUAGAACACCAAAUUGCGAAGGCAGCUCACUACACAGCCAUUGACGCUGAGGCACGAAAAGCGUGGGGAUCAAACAGG
rnacentral:rRNA from 1 species